rnacentral:lncRNA from 1 species
GAGUACAUCACCACUUGAACACAUCAUUAUAAAUAAUAAAUAAUGCAAAAAUAUGGCAUAUUCAUGAACAAUCACAUAAGUACAACAUAGACAGUGUAUAUAACAUAGACAGUAUAUAUAACAUUUACAGAUAAUCAUGUGCAAGAAAAUCUUUAGUAUUACUAUCCUACACUUAGCCUUAACAUAUAUGUUCAGUACAUUAUGUAUGACAUGAAAUGUAUAUGUGGGGAGAGAUCCCUAUGAUUUAUUAGUGCCUUCACAGACAAAGGGUGCAUCGUGUGGCUGAGCCAAGACAUUAGAACUCGAAAUAUCAGUAUAGAGUAGCAUGCAAAGAAUGAGAGUCAUGCAUGCAGGAUGUAAACUACAAUACAUGUUUAAGAUAUCGAUGACAUAGCAUAAAUAUA